rnacentral:lncRNA from 1 species
AUUCAUCUCUUCAAAGCGAUAUUAUAAGAUCAGGCAACCAUCCUCAUCAACGAGGACGGUCAUCAGGAUACAUUGAUAGAAAGGGGUAUAGGGAGUCACAAAGGAUUACAAUCGCAGCACUGAACGCAACUGAGAGGAACAAAACAAAACAAAACAACCUCAUAAGGGAGCCGAGCAAUUCAUGCUCCAAAGGUGUAACCUCAAGUCGAAUGUCGGGUAGAACCACACAUCGAACAAGCUUGCCAUCUAUGCACCAAGGAAGAACCCAAAUGCGCACCAGAUAUGAAGACACCUCCUUCACGGUUAGACACCAAGCAACUAGGUAGCCCAAACUAAGGCAAGAGAGGUUGGCAACGUGCCAGGAUUAACCUUGACCUGAAUCACUCUUCACCGUGCCUUGGGAGACCGAGUAGUGCUAAGCACCUGCAGUUGCUCAUGGACGCUCGCAAUAAGCCAAAGCUUCUCAAGGUGCCACUCAGUUCAGCGCACAUCGACGCGCUCCACGGGGAAGGAUGCCCUGAAGGGGAGUGCCGCAUAGAAAUAGAGACAAGCAACAACCAAGUGAAGAGGAUGAAAGCGAAGCCGAAGCAAGCAAGGCCAGAUGGAGGUUGUCGAAACCAUGCGAAGGUGAAGCACCUCCCUGCGCACCAGGCGCAGCACUCUCGUUGCAAGGUAACCAAAUCCAGCAUCAUGCGGAGGUGGAGCACCUCCCCGCACACCAAGUGCGGCUCUCUCACUGCACGACCACUGGCACCCCAAGGCCGAGGCACCCACAGGCCAGCUCUCCUUCGAUGACCAUACUGGCCACGCCCAAAGGUUCGUGGAGUUGUUGCCACCGU